rnacentral:rRNA from 1 species
UACAGAGGUCCCAAGCGUUGUUCGGAUUCACUGGGCGUAAAGGGUGCGUAGGUGGUCAGGCAAGUCUGAUGUGAAAUCUCUGGGCUCAACCCAGAAACUGCAUUGGAUACUAUCUGGCUAGAGGAGUGGAGGGGGGACUGGAAUACUUGGUGUAGCAGUGAAAUGCGUAGAUAUCAAGUGGAACACCAGUGGCGAAGGCGAGUCUCUGGACAUUUCCUGACGCUGAGGCACGAAAGCCAGGGGAGCAAACGGG